UACGGGGGGGGUAAGCGUUGUUCGGAAUUACUGGGCGUAAAGGGCUCGUAGGCGGCCAACUAAGUCAGACGUGAAAUCCCUCAGCUUAACUGGGGAACUGCGUCUGAUACUGGAUGGCUUGGAUUUGGGAGAGGGAUGCGGAAUUCCAGGUGUAGCGGUGAAAUGCGUAGAUAUCUGGAGGAACACCGGUGGCGAAGGCGGGUCUCUGGACAGUUCCUGACGCUGAGGCACGAAGGCCAGGGGAGCAAACGGG
rnacentral:rRNA from 1 species